rnacentral:RNase_P_RNA from 1 species
UAAACUUAUAUGAGGAAAGUCCGGACACCUAAGGGCAGAACGACGGAUAACAUCCGCCGGGGGCGACCCCAGGACAAGUGCCACAGAAAAGAAAACAACCGAAAGGUUCAGGUGCAACGGUAGUGUAAAAGACUACCAGCGGUAUUGAGAAAUACCGGCUCGGUAAACUCCGUUCGGGUGCAAGAUUGAAUAAAAGGUUAAGGUGACCCGCCGUCUUUUGAAAAAUCGCUUGAGGCAGAAGGCAACUUCUAUCCCAGACAGAUGAUUGUUUAGAAACAGAAUCCGGCUUAUGACCUGC